rnacentral:rRNA from 1 species
CUGCGAGUGAAGAGGGAAAAGCUCAAAUUUAAAAUCUGGCAGUCCUAUUGGCUGUCCGAGUUGUAAAUUGGAGAAGUGUUAUCCGUGCUGGCCUGUGCAAAAGUUCCUUGGAAAAGGGCAUCAUAGAGGGUGACAAUCCCGUCUUUGGCACAGAAUACCAGGGCUUUUGUGAUGCACUUUCAACGAGUCGAGUUGUUUGGGAAUGCAGCUCUAAAUGGGUGGUAAAUUCCAUCUAAAGCUAAAUAUUGGCGAGAAACCGAUAGUGCACAAGUACCGUGAGGGAAAGAUGAAAAGAACUUUGGAAAGAGAGUUAAACAGUACGUGAAAUUGUUGAAAGGGAAACGCUUGAAGUCAGUCAUGUUUCACUGAAAUCAACCUGACAGUAAUGUUUGGUGUACUUUCUGUGGGAUAGGUCAGCAUCAGUUCUGAUUGCUGGAAAAAGGCCUUGGGAAUGUGACAUCUUUUCAAGGUGUGUUAUAGCCCUUGGACCAUAUACAGCGGUUGGGACUGAGGAACUCGAUGUCAGGAUGCUGGCGUAAUGGCUUUAAUCGACCCGUCUUGAAACACGGACCAAGGAGUCUAACAUGCAUGCGAGUGUUUGGGUGGAAAACCCAAGCGCGCAAUGAAAGUGAAUGUUGAGAACCCUGUACAAGGGGUGCAUUGACGCCCGGUCUUGAUCUUUUAGUGACGGAUCUGCGGUAGAGCAUGUAUGUUGGGACCCGAAAGAUGGUGAACUAUGCCUGAAUAGGGUGAAGCCAGAGGAAACUCUGGUGGAAGCUCGUAGCGAU